rnacentral:antisense_RNA from 1 species
GUUUAGUAUUUUUGAGAACCCAGCCACCUGGCCAUGCUGUACCAGCCUUGUGCUGAGUGCUGGGGAUAAAGGAACAAAUAAAACCCAGUCCAGGCUUCUGUGUGCCCAGCCCUGUGCCGGGUCCCAGUGGGUAACAGCAUGUCCAAUCCCUUCAGUGUCCCACUAGAGGCUUCCUUUGGGGCUGCUGGGGACAUCUUGUUUCUAGUUGAGAAUUCAGAUUUAUGUCCAAAGACAAGAACUCCCUGAGGGGCAGAUUACAACAUGGACUGGGCCAUUACAAUCGACAAGGACACAAAGCUAACACAGCCAUCGUUAUACACCAGACAUGUGCUAAGGACUCGAUUUCCCCAUUGUUUAAUCAUCACCAACUCCAUUAUCACCCCCAUUUCACAGAUGUGGAAACUGAGGCUGAGAAGAGUAAGGGACUUGUCCAAGGGCACAGAGCAAGUCAGGGCUAUAGUGAUGUUUCAGGCCCAGACCUGUUUGCCUCUGGAGUCCAGGGUUUAACACACCCCAGUGCUGCUGUGAAAGGGAUCUGGACAGCUCAGGCUGGCCGGCCAAUGCGGGGAUAACCGAACAGAGGUAUGGAACAGAAAGGGGCAUUGAGGAUGUUGCUGUGUGUGUGCGGUGGGGGGAGUGACAAGGCUUCAGCAAUGGUACUCAUUCUCUCCAACCAGCUCCCAGUGCUGCUGUCCUCUGAUUCACCCUCCGCUCUGCCUGCCAUGGACUAAUUGUUCUGAAAUCCCAUGGAUCAAGUCACUCCUCAGCUGAGGACCUGUCCAUGGCUCCCUGGUACCCAGAGGAUAGAAACCCAGCAUUCAAAACCUCUCUAACCAGCUCCCCACCUCAACCCUCACACUCCUGCUCACUAGCCCCCAGGCGCAGUGGGCUCUUCCAGCAGCCAAGCCUCCGCCUACGGUGCCUUCUUGCCUGGAAUGCCCAACUCCCCCUUCUCAGCCUUGUUUGACUCUCAAGUAGGAAAAGCACUCUUUGUCUCCCUGAGCCCCUUGGCACUUAUCACAGAGCACUCUGGGCGUUAACUUCCACUGUCUCCGUCUUGGAUUAGAGUGGAUCUCAGAGGGCCCGGUGGUGUCUGCUUCACCUCCCUCUCCACUGCAGCAGCUUAGCAAGGACUGGCCGGGUAAACUAAAAAAUGCAAAGAGCUGAGAGAAUCCUGGGAAAGUGCACAUUUCCCAGGACUGCCCAAUGACAAGCCCCAUACCAAGGCACAGCAUCAGGAUACCCUCAUGUGGAAGAACCAAAAAUUGCACCCUCAUGGCUUAUCAGGAUGGUCCUUGUGUCUGUCCCUUUCAAGGGUUCUGAUAAUGAAAUCUGGGCAAGUCACCCUCCUGCUUUAAAACUUCCAAUGGUUCCCAGAGGUCUAGCAUAAAAUCCAAACUCAAGGGCCCACAUAACCUAGGUGCUGCCUGGCCCCCAGGCCCUCCUCUUGCCACGCCCCCCUCCCUGGACAGCCUCCCUCACUUCUUUCAGUUCCUCAAGGACUCCCCCUCACUAAAGCCUUACCCAGGUCGCCUCUCUGCCUAGGGGGCUCCUCCGUUCCCUGCUCACUCAGCCACCUCCCUCUCCCUCUUCAGGUCUCACUUUUUAGGGGAGGCUUCCCUGAUCUGUCCAGAUAAGACCUCACCACUCCCACCCAAUCCCACACGCUCCCAUAACCUGAUCGUUUCCUUCACAGCAAGAAUUAAUCUUCAGUGUAAAUAAUGAUCUACUGAAGACCUAUGAGGAAUGGGAAAGUCUUGUUUUUUGCUGAUUCUUCAACACCCAGCUCACAGCCUAAAUAUCUCUCAAAUGAAUGAAUAUAUGAAUGAAUGAAUGAAUGAAUGAACCUAUAUACAUAAAUCAAGACAAGAAGGUGGGCAGAAUCCUAGGGAACACUGAGGCAGAAAAAGCGGGGCCCUGGGCCAGGCAUCAUGGCUCACACCUGUAAUCCCAGCACUUUGGGAGGCCAAGGCAGGCAGAUCACUUGAGGUCAGGACUUUGAGACCAGCCUGGCCAACAUGGUAAAACCCUGUCUCUACUGAAAACACAAACAUUAGCCGGGUAUGGUGGCACAUGCCUGUAGUCCCAGCUACUCAAGAGGCUGAGGCAGGAGACUCACUUGUACCUGGGAGGAGGAGGUUGCAGUGAGCUGAGAUCAUGCCACUGCACUCCAGCCUGGGCACCACAGCAAGACUCCGUCUAAAAAAAAAGAAAAAGAAAAAGAAAGAAAGAAAGAAAAAGAAAAACAGGGCCCUAACUAAAAAAGACAGGAGGAAAAACAGGGCCCUAACUAAAAAGAGAGGAGGGGCCCUAACUGAAAAAAACCAGGGCCCUAACUUAAAAAGUCAGGAGGAAAAACAGGGCCCUAACUAAAAAGAGAAGAGGAAAUAAAUCAGACAGUGCAGCCUCCCAGAAGCAAAAGGAGGGAGUUUCUGGAACUGCACUAGAGACUGGCACAUGGAGUCCUGAGGAAAGAGCACUGGAUUGGACAUCAAGGAGGUCACUGCGGCCUCCCUGAUUGAACCAAGGUUCCGUGGAGGUGGGCACAGGGCUGGUACAUUGCAGGGGGCAGAGGAGUAAAGAGGGGUGAAUAAGCAAAGCUCUCAGGCGACGGUUGCUCAGCUGGGUCUAUGCCAGCCUGGCCCUGCAGGGUCUGCGGAAGACAGGGCCCCUGUGUCAUAGUCACCAAAAGCAUCAACAGAGCAUAACAUUCUUUUUGUUGACAGAUUACAUUGAGGCAACUUGGCUUUUGGAGUUAUCAGGGCUCGGUCUCAAAGGCAGAUUCAUCAGAGCCAAGACCCGGCCCUCAAGUCCUCCUAUUAGGGCAGCACUAGGGCCACCUCGUUGUCAGCAGAACCUUUGGGUAGCCGCUGAUGGGGUGAGUCAGCUUUCUGGGCCCGGCAGACCUUUUGGGAAUCCCUGGCUUUUGGGGCACAACAUCCUGGGGACCACCAAAAAGCCCUUUCACCUGAGCUUUGGUAAAGAGGAACAGCUCCGGCUGUGGGUGGCUCAUGUCACCAUCUGGAAGCCAGCUGGGCCACAGCAGACGCGUAAGUCCUGUAUUCAUUCAUCCCCUUCUCCUUUUGGCAGAAAAGGGAUGGCGUGGGUUGGAGGGGUGUUUUCCUGGGUUCUUGCACAAUUGCUCAUUAGAAAUUCACUUCUGUUUGGGUGUUGGAAGCUGGGCGAUUCCCCCUAGUAGUGAUCCUUCCUGUCUCACUGGUCACAAAGCUCUUUGGCAUCUACAAGCUCGUUGGGUCCACACAGCAGCUUUGUUAGGUGGGUAGGGGGAGACCAAGGCACCCAUCCUACAGGUGGAGAAACCGAGGCUGAAGCUGGGAGGUGAGCCAGUCUCCUGGCUUCCAGCCCAGGAUUCUGCACUCCUCCCCCGACCUCCCCACCUACUUCAGCAGGUCACCUGUGAAUCUGAUAGUCAGGUGGGCCCCACCCUGCCAGCUGGCCCCAGCGGGCAUGACUCAUCCGCUUCCCCAUGACUCACACACCUCAGGUGCUCCUCCUCUGGUCAACAAGUCCGGAGACUUGGCAAAUGGACCCCCAUUUUUCUCACCUCUCCAAAGCCUCUGGGAAGAAUUCCUGCACCUCCUCUUUAUGGGGACUCUGCUCUUCUACAGAAGAGCAACCAAGGCCUUGAGAGGGAAAGCAACUCUCCUAAAGUCACAUAGCAAGCAAGCAGCACGGCCAGGGUGGGAGCCAGGCAUCUGGGCACCGAGCCCAGUCCCGGCCUCCUCCCCACAAGAUCACUCUCGCCUGACCUCCCUCUCAAGGACAGGAAAGGAGCAGAGACGCACUCUGAGCCUUAUUAGGAAGACCUCAGGGACUCCCACUGAAUCCACUGUGGCUACAGCGGCUGCUUCCACCACUGAAGUCCCCUCCAGGCUUCCCUGGGCAGCCAGGGCGGGGUUUAAGAGGACGACAGGUGUCUGCAUUGCUCUACCUACCUAACAAGGCUGUGCAGGGUGAAGAGUGCUGCUCCGUGGGAAGGCGCUGGGACCAAGGCCGAAGCACUGGACAAAGAGAGCUAUGAGCACCACCUGUAAACAAAGGGCACAGAAUGUCAGCCUCAGGGGGAGUUCAAGGUCAUCUGGUCAAAUCCCCAUUUGAUGUUUCAACUCCUUUCCUCCCCUCCACCAGGGGUCACACAAUCAGUACUUGCACACAUCCAGCAACACCGCACUCACUACCUGCCAAGGCUGCAAGACCUGCUGCUGGAGGGUUUGGCUGGGUAAAAGAAUUGUCCUAAGGAUGCACUAAAAUCUCUCUCUUCUUAUGCCUUGUACCUGCUGGUACUAGCCCUGCCUCCUUUUGGGUCAGCCAGAACAGGUCUGUCCCCCUCUUUCCUGAUGGCUGUUGGGAGAUUUGAAGACAGUGAUCCUGGGCCCCUCAAGUCUUCUACAAAUUGUGCACCCCCUUUCCUCCAGCUCUUCCUGAGACCAGGGUUUCCGGUUCCCUCACCCUGUUCCCUGAUCUGCUCCAGAUGAAACCUGUCCCUACUGACAGCACAAGACCCAGAAUUAGACAAUCAGUCAAGCUCUACCCAGGGCAGGGCAAGCAGGACUCUCACCUCCUUCAUUAGAGAUAUCAUGCUUCUAUUAAUUGAGCCUAAAAUCCCAUUUGCAUUUAAGGCAGCCCUAUUGCAUGGCUGAAUUCAGUCUACAGUCAACUUCAGAGCUGUACGUUAGUACUCUGAAGUUAUAUAAACUGGGCCUUCACUUAACUGUGUAACUUGAGCAAGC